CGGGAGUAUUAUUAAGGAAACGUUUUUUAAUUUCAAAGAAAAUUCUAUCCACUUUUGACUUUCAUUGAUAACUGAACAGUAUUUGAACAAAAGAGUUAAAAAACAUUUAAAAAGAAAGUAAGAAUAAAGAAAUAGCAGAGCUUUCAAAAUGACUUGGCUUUGGAAUGAUCGAGCAAACGCGCGAUAGGCAUUGCUUCUACGCGUAUGGGCGGCGCCGUUUGCAACGCGGUUACGAAAGCGGAUUAAAAUAUUAAUUAAGACUUAAGGUCCACCAUCUAUAAAUAUUCAAGGCCCUCUGCGUGAUAUGUUUGGCGUCCUUUGCAAUUAACAACGUGAAGUCAUUCUUGCAGGAGAAAAAAGCAGAAAGAGUAUGGCAAAAUCUAUGGCAACGAGAUUUAAAAGGGUGAAAGUAGAGAUGAAAAAGAUCAGGAAAGAGCAGCAAGGCAUUAAGGAAGCGCAAAAGCAAGUUAUAGCAAAAUUCAAAGCAGUGGAAGAAGAAUGCGAGAAGCUCCGGAAGGAAACCGACCAGAUUAUCCGACAAAAUGCCAACACUCAAAUCCGUCUUUGUCUGAUGUUCAAUAUCCUGAAGGCAAGAAAGCAAGGCGAUUUUGCCAAAGCUGCUCAAUUAACUCGGCUGCUUCGGUAAAGAGAUACUUGUUUCCAUUUUUUUUUUUUGUUCUUUUCAAUUCAUAACUAAUUGAUGCAAUUUUCCUUACAUUAUUGUCAUUUUUUUUGCAGUGAAAUAGUGGCCACAGAUAGUGGCAAAAAUGAAGCAACCCUGCAGUAGUUCAAAGAUGAAGAUGGUAUCGAAUUUUCAUCAAAAAAUAAUUCUAUCUACAAGGCUAAACAAUAUUUCAAAUGUUAUUUUGAUCAAACUUCAAUAAUAUUUUUUUUAAUAAAAAAUUCCCUAUACUUGGAGGGUUGUUCCAAGUAUCUUGUAUACAUUCUUGAGUGUCUUCUCCAAUAUUUAUAACUAAAUAGUCUUCUA